ACAUUGUAAAACGUCAUAAAUAAUAGUAAAAUAUAUAUUUAUAUACAUAUACAUACAUAUUUAUAUAUACAUACGUAUAUUUUUUUCACUUUUUGACUUUCUGGUUUCUAAAUCGGCGUUAUUGUGAAACGGCGCAGAUCAUGGGCUACCUGUACACUGAAUGGCUGCUGCCUCUAAUGGAACAAAGCUCAAUCCAUUCUCUCUGCCUUUAUCUGCUCAUUUAUAUUGCAAUGGUUUUUAGUUUUAUAGUUUCUAUCGUACUAUUUUCGAAAUUCAUUCUAUACAGUACAUUCGAAAACAUGUCAAACUCAUAAACUUACAUUAGAUUACACUUGUUUAACCCUUUCCAUGCAGAUUUUUGUUCAGUCAAAAUAAAUUUCUUGCACAUUUGUAUCAUAACCUAAAAAACUACAAACAAUGUCAAGACAUGGCCGUUAAGAUUUCCUUCCACUGAUGUCACAUAAAAAUAUCUAUGGCAAACGAGUAGAUAAAGAUGAGAUACACAGGAACGCCAGAUACGAUGAGCACCAGUCCAAUGCCUACUUCCCAGGGACUGACAUAAAAUGGAAGUGUAACCAGGAACAAGCAGAUGAUGAAGAAGAUGAUGGGAAAAAUAAUAUUUACCUGUACGGAAGAAAUAAAACAUCACCUCGUUGACCAUGAUAGAUUAACAUGUGCUAAUUAUGUUUUCGCUUGUCUGACCAAUUAUAUUAUGUCACUCCAUAUUCUUGACCAAUCACUGUUGUUACAUUUCUAUAUAAAUCCUCAAACAGUAAUUUUCCAUAAUGAUGACCAUGAAGAAAGACCCAGUAAGUUCCUCCAAAAUGUAUGUAAUUUUUGUGAGAUUUGAGGUUUUCACAGCGGUGAGUUUGAAGAUUUCCGUCUUCUGGGUUGUUGCGCCAUGUAGUCUGGUCGAUGUUAAUGCCUCCGUCAUCAGGGCGAUAAUUUUUACCAAUUCAUGACAGUACUUAGUGGAUUCAGAUCAUUCCACUUGUACAAUAAUUGAAACAUUAAAUAACCAUAAAAAUAA